GAAGGAAAAAAAAAUUCCUUCUUUAUAUUACGAAUUACAAAUUAACAGGCCACCUAAAAACAAAAACACAAGAUUUACAUCAGUAGCUAUUGAAAUACCUUGUAUUUCAAGUUAAUUUGCGCUCACCGAAACGCCAAGCCCUACUUUUUAAAGCAAAUUAUACAACUACAUCCCCGCACGUUUAAAAAUCCACUCGUCUUUCUUAUCUUAGAAUCCUUCUAAUAUCCACUUUUAAUCCAUAUCUAUUUUUUUAUUAGUAUCAAUUACAAUAUGUAUUAAUAAAGCUGUUCUACAACCAAUGGUGAAGUUUGCAAGUUUCCCUUCAUUUAUUUGGGUGUUACUUACAAUGAGUGUACAAGUAUAGACAAUGAUGGUGUAUUCUGGUGUGCUUUGUCUUUCUAUGAUUCUGAAGAGGCUUAUUUAUAUGAUUCCUGCGGAAAUAAUUGCCAGAUAACUUCGACCACAUUAAAAAGAAACAAAAAUCAAAGCUGUACAACCAAUGGCGAAGUUUGCAAGUUCCCCUUCAUUUAUUCGGAUGUUACUUACAAUGAGUGUACAAGUAAAGAAAACGCUGGUGUACUCUGGUGUGCUACGUCUCGGUAUGAUACUGGAGAGGCUUUAGAUUAUGGAGCAUGUGGCAAAAGUUGUAGAAGUCAGUAGUGACAACUAUUUUUAUAUUAUUUAACAAAAUCAUAUUUUUUUCUUUUAAUUUCGAAUGAUUUUGAAAUAUUUCUUGUUAAAGUCGGAUUUCUUUUUAACACCUUAUAAAUAAUACACACUUAAAACAGU
rnacentral:misc_RNA from 1 species